UAGCUUCAACAGUUCAUAUACUAAAAUUGGAAUGAUACAGAGGAGAUUAGGAUAGCCCUUGCUCAAAGAUGACACACGAAUUCAUGAAGACUUCCUUAUUAAA